rnacentral:rRNA from 1 species
UGACGGGGCCGCACAAGCGGUGGAGCAUGUGGUUUAAUUCGAUGAUACGCGAGGAACCUUACCUGGGCUCAAAUGUAUGUUGACGUAUUCUGAAAGGGAUACUUCUUCGGACAAUAUACAAGGUGCUGCAUGGUUGUCGUCAGCUCGUGCCGUGAGGUGUCGGGUUAAGUCCCAUAACGAGCGCAACCCCUAUCAUUAGUUGCCAUCAGGUCAAGCUGGGGACUCUAAUGAAACUGCCUACGCAAGUAGUGAGGAAGGUGGGGAUGACGUCAAAUCAGCACGGCCCUUACGUCCAGGGCUACACACGUGCUACAAUGGCCGGUACAAAGGGCAGCUACCUGGUGACAGGAUGCUAAUCUCAAAAGCCGGUCUCAGUUCGGAUCGGAGUCUGCAACCCGACUCCGUGAAGUUGGAUUCGCUAGUAAUCGCGCAUCAGCCAUGGCGCGGUGAAUACGUUCCCGGGCCUU